rnacentral:tRNA from 1 species
GGGCGCGUAGCUCAGCGGGAGAGCACCACGUUGACAUCGUGGGGGUCACAAGUUCAAUCCUUGUCGCGCCCACCA